rnacentral:lncRNA from 1 species
UACUUCAGACAGCUCUACUUCCAACAGCUCUACUGCCAACAGCUCCCCCAAACAGGACCUAAGUAUAAUCUUGGUUCAUACAUACAAAAUCGCUUAUGAAACCAUACAUUAUCCUGUCCUCUAUUGUUGUUCCCUGUAAGUACAUAGGAAGAUGUAAAAGUAACUUUAGAAAGCUACAAAUAGGCAUCUUGGCUUCCAUUUUCUCCAACUUCUUAUUGUUUCCAGAUCGCUAAAUGCUUUUAACGUGCAAUUUGUAGUUAAUUUGAGGCCAUGGUUACAAUCCGU